AAAAGGUCGCAAAGUUCAAGGGGGGCGAAUACUUUCGCAAGGCACUGUAUAUGAACAUGAUAUCAGGCCCAUGAAGAAUUGUCCUUAUCCCUCCUCAGGGAUAAAUGAGUGGUCCUUACAAAAGCGUCAAAAACACCAAACUUUUCUCUGACAACAUGGGGGAAAGAGGCAUUGUGGAGGCAGACCAUAUCCCACCAAAGAAUUCCCUGAAGCUGGCCAGAGACCAAAAAUCUCAGAUGAAAAAUCUUCAACAGAAGAAUCUGAAGCUUUAUGAUAUGAUAAACAGCAUUGAAUCAGAUCAAAAUGGAGGGAACCUGCUCACAAUGCGGGUUCUCAAAUAGCAUCACAGGAAUGCUCUAACCACUGGAAGGAGUAAGACAUCUGUCAUCUGCAGGAAGCUGCUGGCGGAUACACUUGCAAGCGGAGAUGUGGAGAAAUCACUGAAGUUAUCUUUCAUCAUGGCUCAUCCUAUUGCUUCGGACCAGCUCAGAGACAAAGCAGGAAAGCCCAAUAAACUUACCCUGGGAUCCAUUGAUUUAUCUCCUGAAGGAACAGUGUUCUACUAUAAAGCUGGCUUCAAUCAGAUGCUGAAUCACCAUAGUAAAGAGGGGAUCAUCGACCAGAAUCAGCAGGCGAGGCUGAAGUCCUGGGUGUCCGAUAAGAAGUACAUGGACCCGGACACCCCAGAGUACAACAACAUCCUUGCAGCCAUCCAGUAACACAACCUCCACUGGAGACAUGUUAGUAAAGGGAUAAAAUCAUACUUUUAUAUUCAGCAUAUGAAUAUCAUGAAUUUAGUAUAAUCAUAAUGUGAAUAAUUUCUUGUUGAACCUUAGUUGAAUGACAAUUUGACCUUUCUACUGCUACAUAAUUACUAUACUUUUUUUGUUUGUGCUUCCACAAGGUAGCCUAUGGCUUUUCAAAAUAGAUACAGUAACUUAUGUGCAAGGUGCAUGAGAUAUAAGCUUGCUAAAACAACUAUAGGUUCUUUACAGUAAACUGUAAAUUGACUUUUGAUUUUGUUUCAUUCAAUACUGUAUAUUAUACUGGGUGCCAAAGUUAAUUUCUCAAUGUCAUAAUAUUUACUGAUGUCCUAAUAUUUAAUGUUUGUAGUUUCUUAGUGUUGAAUUAUAUAGCCUACUUUCCAUUUUAGUGUAAUGAUCAUGAUAACCUUUUAAAAUCGAAUCAGAAUGUAUUUGUCGCAUGUGCAGAAUACAGUGAAAUGCUUACCCACAAGCCCUUAACAACAAUGCAGUUUUAAGAAAAUAAAAUAAAGAAAUAUAACAAAUAAUUAAGGAGCAACAAUAAAAUAACAGUAGCGAGGCUAUGUAUUUUAUGCUCAUCAUCAGUGGUUUCACAGUCAAAUCAUGGUCUCAUUGGCAGUGUUUAUCAUGUAUUGGAUUUCUUUACUCUUGGAUUAUGGAUGAUUUUAUAUUCAUUCAAUCCAAGGUAGUGUUUUAAUCUAUUUGAAUAAAUGUUUGCGGUCUCAAAAAUAUUAUCUGUAUUUGAAACUAUUGAUAAUAAACUGAUUUAAUUUGCAAGACUACUAGCAAUGUGCA